ensembl:snoRNA small nucleolar RNA SNORA29
GGUCCCAUUUUAGUACCAAUCAUUCCUGUUUCCCACGAAUGACUGGCUAUGCAAAUGGGACAGAGCAUCUCUGCCAUUGUCUGAAGGAGAGGUCUGCACUGCUUGCCUCUUCUAUAUGUAGUGACAGCACAUCCCGUG